rnacentral:misc_RNA from 1 species
GAAAUGCGAUAAGUAGUGUGAAUUGCAGAAUUCAGUGAAUCAUCGAAUCUUUGAACGCACAUUGCGCCCUUUGGUAUUCCUUAGGGCAUGCCUGUUCGAGCGUCAUCUAAACCCUCAAGCCCUGCUUGGUGUUGGGUGCCUGUCCCGCCCCCGUGCGUGGACUCACCUCAAAUCCAUUGGCGGCCCUCGUGCCGGCCCCGAGCGCAGCAGAAACGCGGUCUCGUGGCCCGGCGGAGCGUGCCACCAGAAGCAACAUUCACCGUUUUGACCUCGGAUCAGGUAGGGAUACCCGCUGAACUUAAGC